CGCUGGCGGCGUGCCUAAUACAUGCAAGUCGAACGGUCUUUUCUAUGGAAGCUUGCUUCCACUGAGAAGAUAGUGGCGAACGGGUGAGUAACACGUGGGUAACCUGCCCAUAAGAGGGGGGAUAACAUCCGGAAACGGGUGCUAAUACCGCAUAGUUUUCUUGAUCGCAUGAUCGGGAAAGGAAAGACGGCCUUUGUGCUGUCGCUUAUGGAUGGACCCGCGGCGUAUUAGUUAGUUGGUGAGGUAAUGGCUCACCAAGACGAUGAUACGUAGCCGACCUGAGAGGGUGAUCGGCCACAUUGGGACUGAGACACGGCCCAAACUCCUACGGGAGGCAGCAGUAGGGAAUCUUCCGCAAUGGACGAAAGUCUGACGGAGCAACGCCGCGUGAGUGAAGAAAGGUUUUCGGAUCGUAAAACUCUGUUGUCAGAGAAGAACAAGUUGGAGAGUAACUGCUCCAGCCUUGACGGUAUCUGACCAGAAAGCCACGGCUAACUACGUGCCAGCCGCCGC
rnacentral:rRNA from 1 species